rnacentral:rRNA from 1 species
GCUAACUACGUACCAGCAGGCGCGAUAAUACGUAGGGCCCAAGCGUUAUCCGGAAUCACUGGGCGUAAAGCGUCCGCAGCCGGAAGCUUAAGUGAGAUGUUAAAUCGGGUGGCUCAACCAUAUCGAUGCAUCUCAUACUGGGUUUCUAGAGGAUGGCAGAGGCAAGUGGAAUUAGCAGUGUAGCAGUGAAAUGCGUAGAUAUUGCUAGGAACACCAAUGGCGAAGGCAGCUUGCUGGGCCAUUUCUGACGGUCAUGGACGAAAGCGUGGGGAGCGAACAGGAUUAGAUACCCGUGUAGUC